CAUGCAAGUCGAGGGGAAACGGCAUUGAGUGCUUGCACUCUUUGGACGUCGACCGGCGCACGGGUGAGUAACGCGUAUCCAACCUUCCCAUUACUGUGGGAUAACCUGCCGAAAGGCAGACUAAUACCGCAUAGUCUUCGAUGACGGCAUCAGAUUUGAAGUAAAGAUUUAUCGGUAAUGGAUGGGGAUGCGUCUGAUUAGCUUGUUGGCGGGGUAACGGCCCACCAAGGCUACGAUCAGUAGGGGUUCUGAGAGGAAGGUCCCCCACAUUGGAACUGAGACACGGUCCAAACUCCUACGGGAGGCAGCAAUGAGGAAUAUUGGUCAAUGGACGGAAGUCUGAACCAGCCAAGUAGCGUGCAGGAUGACGGCCCUAUGGGUUGUAACUGCUUUUGUAUGGGGAUAAAGUUAGGGACGUGUCCCUAUUUGCAGGUACCAUACGAAUAAGGACCGGCUAAUUCCGUGCCAGCAGCCGCGGUAAUACGGAAGGUCCAUGCGUUAUCCGGAUUUAUUGGGUUUAAAGGGAGCGUAGGCUGGAGAUUAAGUGUGUUGUGAAAUGUAGACGCUCAACGUCUGAAUUGCAGCGCAUACUGGUUUCCUUGAGUACGCACAACGUUGGCGGAAUUCGUCGUGUAGCGGUGAAAUGCUUAGAUAUGACGAAGACUCCGAUUGCGAAGGCAGCUGACGGGAGCGCAACUGACGCUUAAGCUGAAGGUGCGGGUAUCAAACAGGAUUAGAUACUGGUGGUCCGCACAGUAAACGAUGGAUGCCCGCUGUUGGUACUGG
rnacentral:rRNA from 1 species